rnacentral:lncRNA from 1 species
CGGGAUUCUUAAAAUUAUUUUCUAACUUCGUGAAACCUAAUUGAACUCAUAUUAUUUCCAGCCGCCUCCUCUUCACUGUUCUCUCGUCUUCUCUUCUUAUCUCGACUCUGAAUCAUCGAUACCCUCUCUAUGCUCAUGAUUCACUGUUGUCAAAUCGCUUGAUUCUCCGGCUUGCUUUGCUCUCUCAUCACAAUAUCAGGUAUAUCUCAUCUUCCUUCUAGUUUUUCAGUUUUUUUAGUAUUUAAAUCCUAUUUGCAUUUGUUCUCUGUGGUUCAACAUGUUAUAUUCAUUGUUGUUUUUUCGGUACUUACAAUUUUCUCUUUUAUAUUCUGAGGGCUCUCUAACACAGGUAAAAUAAUUGCCUUUACUGUUUUUUGUAUAAUAUUUGCCUUCAUUGUUGUUUAUAUUCUCAUGGAUUUUCCGAAGCUUUUUUCGGCUCAAAACUCUAUUGGAUGUGGAUGUUCUGUAUUGGAAGAUAAGGAAUUUCUCUCUUUUAUUUUCUUCCUCUAGUGCGAGAGAGACCUCGACCUUCUUCGUUUGCCGCCGUCUCUUCCUCUAGUCAUCAGUUCAACUUCGCAACCAUGGUAUUUCUCCAUCGAAUUCUCUGUUUGUUUCCUGUGAAACUGAAAUUAAAAUGAAAAUGAAAAAGUUUGUUUGUUCAUGGUUCUGAUCUGUUACAUUUGGUUUUUUCUAUCCUAGAUCAUCUCAGAGAAGAACAGGAGAGAAAUCUCCAAAUACCUAUUCCAAGGUACACACAAAAAGCUUAGUUUUUUAUUUAUUCUCAAUGAAAUUAGGUUCUUCGUUUCCAUUUUUUUGUUAAAAUUUAUUGAAUUUAAUUUGAACAGAGGGAGUGUGCUAUGCAAAGAAGGACUAUAACUUGGCAAAACACCCAGAAAUCGAUGUGCCAAAUCUGCAGGUGAUUAAGCUGAUGCAGAGCUUCAAAUCCAAGGAGUAUGUGAGAGAAACUUUUGCUUGGAUGCACUACUACUGGUACCUGACCAAUGAUGGUAUUGAGUUUUUGAGGAACUACCUCAACCUUCCAUCUGAGAUUGUCCCUGCAACUUUGAAGAAGCAGGCCAAGCCUCCUGGUCGCCCCUUGGGCCCAUCUGGUGACCGCCCACGGUAAUUGAUUUGUUUCAUCGUCUUUAUUGGUUAUUGGAUCUAUUGAUUUUUGUAGAGUCUGUGGUUCUUUGUUCUAGAGUAUGUGAUAUCGAUCAUUUAGGAAGAAGUUAUUUAACUGAUUUGUGUAAGUAAACUGCGACAGAUAUGUGCUUCCUUUUCUUGUUCGUUUGUUGAACCCCUUGAUUGGUUGGAAUGUAAUGUGGAUGUUUUGAUGAUGUGAACAGCGGCCCACCUCGCUUUGAUGGAGGAGAACGCAGAUUUGGUGACAGGGAUGGGUACCGUUCAGGUCCUCGUGCACCAGGGGGUGAUUUUGGUGACAAGGGUGGAGCACCUGCUGACUACAGACCUUCUUUCGGGGUAAUAUUUCCGUUGUCAAGUAGUUUUUUUAAUAUUUCUCAUUUAGGUACUAUGUCUUUUUACCAUGUAUUCAUGUAUUGGGUUGGAGAUCAAUUGCCUUUCGAUGAUAUUCUAUUCUUCUUUACAUUUUGGAAUUGUAUUCUAUCUGAUCCCAUGUACCUUGUUAAUGAGGACUUGACAAACUUAUAUAGUGCCCACUUAAAUGUGUUUUAUGAUUAGAAGAUUUCCUCACUUUGGAAAAAUGAUGCAUUUGUUAACUCAUUAUGCUUCUUUCUCCCGAAAUAUCAGGGUAGUAGGCCUGGCUUUGGUCGUGGUGCCGGUGGAUCUGGUGGAGCUGGUGGUUUUGGUGCUGGCCCAGCAAGCUCUGAUCUCUCCUAAGGAAAUGGUGUACUUAGACACUGUUUGGUUUCCUAAGAUUGCAUUUAAGAAAGGAUGACAUUCUGUAUUAGGAGACAACAGCAGUUUUGUUUGACUUGCAAGAGUCUUGGGAUUGUAUUAGAUGUUUGUUUUUAUUCUAUAUGGUCUAUGAAUUGCACUUUGCAAAAUUUAUUUUUCUGUUAUCUAUGUCGUUGAGAAAUUUCGUAGAUGAUGUUUAAUAACUAUUUUCCUACAAUUCUUGGGUUUAGUGAAAAUAAAAAACAAUUCUUGGGCCUAAACCCUCCAUUAGGCA